UACGUAGGUGGCAAGCGUUGUCCGGAAUUAUUGGGCGUAAAGAGCGCGCAGGCGGUCGUUUAAGUCGAAUGUGAAAGCCCCCGGCUCAACUGGGGAGGGUCAUUCGAUACUGAUCGACUUGAAGGCAGGAGAGGGAAGUGGAAUUCCGGGUGUAGUGGUGAAAUGCGUAGAUAUCCGGAGGAACACCAGUGGCGAAGGCGACUUCCUGGCCUGUUCUUGACGCUGAGGCGCGAAAGCUGGGGGAGCAAACGGG
rnacentral:rRNA from 1 species